rnacentral:rRNA from 1 species
UACGUAGGGGGCGAGCGUUUGUCCGAAGUUACUGGGCGUAAAGCGCGCGUAGGCGGUUUCUUAAGUCUGAGGUGAAAGGUUCAACGCUUAACGUGAACAGUGCCUUGGAUACUGGGAGACUUGAGUGUGGCAGAGGAUAGUGGAAUUCCUGGUGUAGCGGUGAAAUGCGUAGAUAUCAGGAGGACACCCAUGGCGAAGGGCAGCUAUCUGGGCUAACACUGACGUGAGGUGCAAAAGCG